CGCCUAGGGACUACGAGCGCUAGCUUAAAACCUAAGGACUUGGCGGUAUCUCAAACCCCCUAGAGGAGCCUGUCCUGGAACCGAUAAUCCCCGUUUAACCUCACCUCUGCUUGCCAACCCAGCCUGUAUACCUCCGUCGACAGCUCUCCCCUCAGGGCCCAAAAGCAAGCGAGAUAGACUAACCCCUAAUACGUCAGGUCGAGGUGCAGCGUACUGCAGAGGGUGAGAGAUUGGCUACACUCCCUAGAGUAGGGACCACGAAGGGGGCCUUGAAACAGGUCUCUGAAGGAGGAUUUAGCAGUAAGAGGAGACUAGAGAGCCCCUCUGAA
rnacentral:rRNA from 1 species